ensembl:ncRNA mir-977 mir-977 stem loop
CGAAUCAACAAACAAGGUAUGCUUUAGAUAACUCGAAUAUCACAUCUUCAGUGUUCGAAAUCUGAUGAGAUAUUCACGUUGUCUAAAUCAUGUUUUGUA